AGAAGUUGUAAAAGGAAUUGAGACAAGUAGUUUUCAUGCUGAUUGGAAAGGCAAAAAAGAACCACAGAAGCCCUGGCCACGAGAGGCCAAUGCCCAGAGUCCAAGAUUGUCCUAAACUUUGGCUUGAUAGAAUCAUUUCCCAUGAUCCUGUGAGUUAAGCUUUGAUGUUCUCUUCUGCGGGAUCUUACUUUGCUGUGCGGUCGUGGAUGUUCCCUUUGUCAUUUACACCUCUGAUAUUUUAGUUCUCUGCCUGAAGAUUGUGCCACUGUGAAGCUGCUGCAGUAGGGAAAGCAAUUCUUAUAAAUGCUACUUAAGAGUUAGUUAGAAUUAAAGGGACUAUCUAUAAAUAUUGCUGUCCAGAAGCCUUCUGAGUAUUUCAUUUCUAAUGGAAAUACUGGGUGUUUUAAGCAACAUUGUUCACUAUAAAAUAUUCUGUAAAGGGGGGAAAAAGAAUCCCAUGGGGGUAAGAAGAACGAUUUUUUAAUAAGAACUAGCCAGUUUUCACAGAAAGUUCUAUAACCAGCUUAUAACAUGGCAAGGAAAUGUAUUUUAUAUUAAAAAUAGCUAAGAGCACAGUCAUUGUGAUGGUUUGGAGCAAGAGUCAGUGCUGACUCUUUGAACAUGAAUUGGCGUGGAUCUACAUGAGCUUUUUAAGAGGAAAAAUUACAAGUUUUGGAAAACCUAAGAAACUUUAAAAGUGUGUCAUUCACGAUGUAAAAUUAACGCCGUUGAAAGGCAGUGGUUGACUCAGAGCUCCCACAUUGAGCUUCAGUUCUCUGGAGCUCAGAUGGUUUUCUUUAAAAAUUAGUGAUAUCAGCUCUGUGGGACUGGUUCCCACCCCUGCCCACGGAGCAAAGCACUUUUGUGCACAUGGCAGCUGGGGCCCUCGUUCCACGCCACCAGGAAGUGCGGCAAAAGCAAGCUGUCUCUCCACGCUUGAUCCCCAGUCUGCGUCAGUGCAGGAGCACAACCCCCAAACAAGGGUCCUAGAGUUCCUUCUUUUUAUUCUAUGCACAUAAGCCACAUUUUUUGACUGAAAGAAUUUUAAACCUAGGUGGAAUCUCUGAGGUCUUCCCGUUCGGCCUCUUUGUCGUGUACAUGUGGAAGCAAAGGCACAGAGAGGUUCAGCAGCUCCCCCAGUCUCACACAGCUGAUAAUGGUACGUCGAGGGUCAAACCCAGACCCUUGGGUUGCAAGCUCGAAGCUCCUUCCACUGCCUCUCUUCACAGCAAGGAGAUGAUCCGCCCCCAGAGCAUCAGCCCUUGCUCCUCCCACAGCUCCACAGCACCUGUGACGCUGUCAUGCUGAAGCUAACUGGGAGGCCCUUUGCCACUGUCCUGAAGGAGCCCUCCAGACCUGGCUGCCGGCCCUCUGCCUCCCCAGAGCUCUUCAGCUGCACUCUGCAGUCAAUUUUGGCUUCUUCGGACUGAGCAGUUCCUUCGUUGAUUCUGUGAUUUGCCUUCCAGGGACCUCCUGGACACUCAUUUUCAAGUCUCUUCUUAUUAAAAUGAGACCCGGGAUGGCCCUCCUCCCGCCUGUUCCCCCUCCCUGGGUUCCCAGUGCCCUUUGACCCCACUGCCCUUCUUCCUGUCCCCAACCCUACAGCCUGGCCAUCUCCGCCUCUGCUUCCCUCAGCCAAGAGGAUCCACAUGGACGCUCUGCGCCCCACUGCUCGAUGGCAUUUUCAGCUAGACUGUGGAAAAGCCUCUUUGCUGGUUUCCUUCAGUCGCGUCUCUGCAGAGCUGCUGACCUGAACUCCAGCAGUCUCAGGAAGCCUCACCGCGGUCAGUUUAACCCCUCUCGGACCAAGACGCACCCCCCGCUUGUGAAUUGAAGAUGAGGAAUGAGAACAUCGGUGUCCAACACAACGCUUCCCAUCUCCUGGGCCGAGUGAGGACUCCCUACCGCCUGGCGCUGAGCUUUUUCCCUAACUUCCCAUGCCCCGCCUUUCCCAACGAGCGCCCCCCUGAGGUCACACCUAGCCCACACUUUCCCGACUGUUUGCUCGCGCAGCACCAGUGCUGGGUACCGUGUGCUGAGGGGGAGCCCUUGCCCUGUCUCCGGAGGCUGUCGCCCGCCUCUUCUCCAUCCCUCACAACAGCCUGCACCCAGCAGGCCCAAGGCUGAGCGGUAGGUGAAUGCAUUCAGCGCAGAAUCCACUAGAAUUUUCUGGCCCUCACAAUUUAUUCUGAUGUACACUGGGCCUCCAGUCAAGCAAACUCUUCAAGCCUUUUUUUAUAUAAGCUUUAAGCUAAUUCUCUCCCAGUCUUUUCCUGGGCUCUUCUGAACUGAUACUCAGAGCUUUUCAGUUAAAGUUUAAUUUUCACUCAU